rnacentral:rRNA from 1 species
UAGCGGCGGACGGGUGAGUAACGCGUGGGAACAUACCCUUUGGUACGGAAUAGCCUCGGGAAACUGGGAGUAAUACCGUAUGUGCCCUUCGGGGGAAAGAUUUAUCGCUAUGGGAUGGGCCCGCGUCAGAUUAGGUAGUUGGUAGGGUAAUGGCCUACCAAGCCGACGAUCUGUAGCUGGUCUGAGAGGAUGAUCAGCCACACUGGGACUGAGACACGGCCCAGACUCC